rnacentral:rRNA from 1 species
CCUACGGGAGGCAGCAGUAGGGAAUCUUCCACAAUGGGCGAAAGCCUGAUGGAGCAACGCCGCGUGGGUGAAGAAGGUCUUCGGAUCGUAAAACCCUGUUGUUAGAGAAGAAAGUGCGUGAGAGUAACUGCUCACGUUUCGACGGUAUCUCACCAGAAAGCCACGGCUCACUACGUGCCAGCAGCCGCGGUAAUACGUAGGUGGCAAGCGUUCGCCGGUUUUAUUGGGCGUAAAGGGAACGCAGGGGGGCGUUUAAGUCUGGUGUGAAAGCCAUCGGCUUAACCGCAGUAGUGCAUUGGAAACUGGGAGACUUGAGUGGAGAAGAGGUGAGUGGAACUCCAUGUGUAGCGGUGAAAUGCG